UAAAUUAUAUUUUUUCUUUUUUUUUACAGAGCUCAGCUCUUGGGUUCUUGCUAGCACAAAAGCACUUUACAAACCCACUGGUUGCAGUUCCAUCAGCUGUUAGUGUUGUCUUCAUGGCGCUUGGAGGAAGUGCACUGGCUGUCUACUGGAGGAAUGUUGCCAUUCCUUUGGAUGAUAAAGAUGAUUUCAAGGAGUAACUGCAGUUUUGGAUUGACUUUUUUUGUUAAAUUUUUAAUAUUGAAUUGAUGUUACAUUAACUCCAGUCCUCACCUCUCCUACUGAACCUCAAACCUUUUGAAUAGUACCAGUACAUUGCAGUUGAGUGCACUACCGAGAAAUCUUCUGUCAGUAAGUUAUAAAUAUCUUGAUGAAGUGCAUCGAUUCCCUACAAGUUUUUCAGCCUUAAGAUGGACCAUACAUGGUGUGAACUGAUAUUGUGAUUCAGAGUUAUUGCUCUAAUUCAACAUUCUACUCAGGGAAAUCUUCUAAGUGAACUAGAUUUAGCAACAGGAAUAAAAAUUCAUGACACCAAUCAGUUUUUAGUUUUAAAUAAGGGUAAACCCUUUCUUCACGGUUGUAUAUAAUUUUUCCUUGCUGAAUAACAUGAUGGUUGAUAUUUUUAAUUAGGAUUCUCGUCAUCAAAUUGUAUUGGAUCGGAAUGUAAUAGAAGUUGACAUGUUUGGUAUCGAAACUGACCUAUGUUAAUGUGAUUUACCAACUUCAAUCAAUUAACUUGAGAAUUAAAGUUUUCA